rnacentral:rRNA from 1 species
AGAGUUUGAUCAUGGCUCAGGACGAACGCUGGCGGCGUGCUUAACACAUGCAAGUCGAACGAUGAAGCCGGAGCUUGCUCCGGUGGAUUAGUGGCGAACGGGUGAGUAACACGUGAGCAACCUGCCCUUCACUCUGGGAUAACUGCGGGAAACUGUAGCUAAUACCGGAUAUUAGGAUCCGAGGCAUCUCGGAUCUUGGAAAGAAUUUCGGUGAAGGAUGGACUCGCGGCCUAUCAGCUUGUUGGUGAGGUAAUGGCUCACCAAGGCGACGACGGGUAGCCGGCCUGAGAGGGUGACCGGCCACACUGGAACUGAGACACGGUCCAGACUCCUACGGGAGGCAGCAGUGGGGAAUAUUGCACAAUGGGCGCAAGCCUGAUGCAGCAACGCCGCGUGAGGGACGAAGGCCUUCGGGUUGUAAACCUCUUUUAGCAGGGAAGAAGCGAAAGUGACGGUACCUGCAGAAAAAGCACCGGCUAACUACGUGCCAGCAGCCGCGGUAAU